rnacentral:rRNA from 1 species
AUUUGUCUGGUUAAUUCCGAUAACGAACGAGACCUUAACCUGCUAACUAGUUCAUAAUACUCUGUAUUUUGCAACUUCUUAGAGGGACUAUGUAAAUCAAUUACAUGGAAGUUUGAGGCAAUAACAGGUCAGUGAUGCCCUUAUAUGUCCUGGGCUGCACGCGUGCUACACUGAUGCAUACAACAAGUGCCUAGCCAGACAUGGUAUGGCAAUCUCGAAUAUGCAUCGUGAUGGGGAUAGAUCUUUGCAAUUAUAGAUCUUGAACGAGGAAUUCCUAGUAAGUGCAAGUCAUCAUCUUGCAUUGACUAUGUCCCUGCCCUUUGUACACACCGCCCGUCGCUCCUACCGAUACCGGGUGAUCCGGUGAACCUUUUGGACUCUGUAAAGGGGAAGAUAAGUAAACCAUAUCACCUAGAGGAAGGAGAAGUCGUAACAAGGUUUCCGUAGGUGAACCUGCRGAAGGAUCA